ensembl:lncRNA
CCAUGAUGAGGCUGGGCACCAGGGACAGCAUAGGACUCUAUAUCUUGCGAGGCAGAGGUUCUUCUGGAUUGACAUGGAACGAGAUGUCCGUGAAUAUGUCAAGUCAUGCAAGCGCUGUGUGGUAAGCAAGACACCCGAACCUGAAGGGAGAGCGCCUCUCGAGAGCAUCAAAACAACAAGCCCUCUCGAGAUGGUCUGCAUUGACUUUUGGUCAGCCGAAAUCCCAAAUGGAAAAACUGUCGAUGUCCUGGUCAUCACUGACCAUUUCACAAAAAUGGCUCACGCUUUUCCAUGUCACGAUCAGUCAGCAAAGCAGGUUGCCCGUCAGCUCUGGGAUCGAUACUUCUGUGUCUGGCUUCCCAGAGAGAAUUCACUCCGACCAAGGAGCCAACUUCGAGAGCCAGUUGAUCCGAGAGUUACUGCUGAUUUCUGGUGUAAAGAAGUCGAGGACAACGGCUUAUCAUCCCAUGGGAAACGGUGUGGUUGAACGCUUCAACCGGACAUUGGGAAGCAUGAUCAGAGCUCUCCCCUCCAAGAGCCAAGCAAAAAUGGCCCCAGAUGUUGCAGACGUUGACUUUCGCCUACAACUGCACUGCCCACGAGUCAACAGGCUACGCCCCGUUCUAUCUAAUGUAUGGGAGGAUCCCCAGACUCCCAGUUGACGUGAUGUUCCACAAUGUGGAGAGGGACUGUGACAUCGCUGACUAUGAUAAAUAUGUCCUUAAACUGAGGGAGGAGUUAAAAGAGGCAUUAUCAUCUGCUCAGGCCAAUGCUGUCACCAGUCAGCAACACCAAACUGAACUGUACAACAAGAGGACCAAAGGUCAUGACAUCGCUGAGGGAGACCAAGUACUCUUGUCAAACAAAUGUGAAAGGGGACGCAAGAAAUUGUCUGACAAAUGGGAGUCUGUCCCGUACAUGGUGGUCUCAAGAGAUCCUAGGUGUCAUACCUAUCGGAUAAGGAAUACAAGCAGUGGCCGUGAAAAGGUUGUGCAUCGCAAUCGCCUCCUGUGCGCAAACUUUCUUCCACUUGAGGUGGAAGAUGAAGAGGAUGUUGACGCAUCGUUCACUGAGUCAUCUGAGUCGAUUCAUGACGAGACACAAAGCCGCGUGUCAGAUGUGGCGACAGGUGAUGUCACAGAAGACAGGACAUCCAGUUGGGUUCUGGAUAGUGCUUCUGUUGUCCAAACAUGUCUUGACGAUGAUGAAGAGCUUGGAGACAUUGACCUGCGGGAAAGUGUUAGCCGGAGGUCAAUGAGUGUGUCAAGUGUGGUCGAUGAAACAGGCUGUAGCAAUGACCCCCCAAGCACUGUGAUCAGUGUUGUCUCCCGUAUUAGAACAAGGGUGGGUAGGCUGGUGAAACCUGUAGAUAGACUCAUUCAGAACAUGACCCAGAGGAAAAUACUAGCUUGAGUGAUGAACCUCUGUAAGCCAUCAAGUACCUUGAGACAAUUCUUUAAUCCAGUGUUUGGGUUGAAAAUGUGUUAGAGUAGCAGUGAUAAAUAUUAGGUACUCCUUGUCUUUUGAAAGGUAUAUUUAAGUAUUACCUUUAUGAAGUAAUGUGUAAGGUGGUGUAAAAGGCACCCUUUUUUGCAAGUGUACCCUGGAGGGUUGCGCAGCCCUCCUCGGCCAUUUUCUCAGUAAUAUGAGUAACUAAUGAGUUGCAUAACGUGAAUGUAUUGGAGUGUUCUGCUAAAGUCUUAAGGUAUUUUGGUGAAGUUCAGAGGGGAGUAUGUAGCCGAGCUAAAUUUAAUUUUAUUUUGUGUUAUUUUUUUAUCAUUGUUCAUACCUUUUUUAUUGUGAACUCCACCAAAUAUUGGUUCCUAGUUGUAAGUUGAUUUCGUUGUUCCGUAUGGCAUGCCUUUUGUUUCCCGGGGGAGUGGUUUGGCGUUGCACCUGUGUGUCUAGCGUCAGUGAGCGCUGAUGCACGGAGCUGAGUGGAGAGUGAUAUCCCGGAUUGUGUGUGACGCCCGUGUUGUUUUGUCUCCUUUGGAAAGAAUAAACCUCUAGUACUCGACUCCUGUGUGUGCCUCACUGGAAGAUACAAGACACAACGCAGAAAGACAUUGGUUACAUAUACAGAGAUAAAAACAAAA